rnacentral:rRNA from 1 species
GACGAACGCUGGCGGCGUGCUUAACACAUGCAAGUCGAACGGAAAGGCCCUGCUUUUGUGGGGUGCUCGUGUGGCGAACGGGUGAGUAACACGUGAGUAACCUGCCCUUGACUUUGGGAUAACUUCAGGAAACUGGGGCUAAUACCGGAUAGGAGCUCCUGCUGCAUGGUGGGGGUUGGAAAGUUUCGGCGGUUGGGGAUGGACUCGCGGCUUAUCAGCUUGUUGGUGGGGUAGUGGCUUACCAAGGCUUUGACGGGUAGCCGGCCUGAGAGGGUGACCGGCCACAUUGGGACUGAGAUACGGCCCAGACUCCUACGGGAGGCAGCAGUGGGGAAUAUUGCACAAUGGGCGGAAGCCUGAUGCAGCAACGCCGCGUGCGGGAUGACGGCCUUCGGGUUGCAAACCGCUUUCGCCUGUGACGAAGCGUGAGUGACGGUAAUGGGUAAAGAAGCACCGGCUAACUACGUG